rnacentral:rRNA from 1 species
UACGGGGGGGGCAAGCGUUGUUCGGAAUUACUGGGCGUAAAGGGCGCGUAGGCGGCCUUCUAAGUCGAACGUGAAAUCCCUCGGCUUAACCGGGGAACUGCGUCUGAUACUGGAUGGCUUGAGUUUGGGAGAGGGAUGCGGAAUUCCAGGUGUAGCGGUGAAAUGCGUAGAUAUCUGGAGGAACACCGGUGGCGAAGGCGGCAUCCUGGACCAACACUGACGCUGAGUGAGCGAAAGCCAGGGGAGCAAACGGG